AAUGAACGCUGGCGGCGUGCAUAACACAUGCAAGUCAAGGGGGCCCGCAAGGGCAACCGGCGAACGGGUGCGUAACACGUGAGCAACCUACCUCAGUGUGGGGCAUAGCCGGCCUAACGGCCGGGUAAUUCCGCAUACGAUCUUUCGGAGACAUCUCCGGUUGAUGAAACGCUUCGGCGGUACUGAGAGGGGCUCGCGGCCUAUCAGCUAGUUGGUGAGGGUAAUGGCCCACCAAGGCAACGACGGUAGCUGGUCUGAGAGGAUGGCCAGCCACAUUGGGACUGAGAUACGGCCCAGACUCCUACGGGAGGCAGCAGUGGGGAAUCUUGCGCAAUGGCCUAACGGCUGACGCAGCGACGCCGCGUGAGGGAUGAAGCUUUUCGGAGUGUAAACCUCUGUUGCUCGGGACGAAUGGCGAAUUAUUUCGACGUGACGGUACCGAGUGAGGAAGCACCGGCUAACUCCGUGCCA
rnacentral:rRNA from 1 species